rnacentral:rRNA from 1 species
CAGCAGCCACGGUAAUACGUAGGGGGCAAGCGUUAUCCGGAAUAACUGGGCGUAAAGGGUGCGCAGGUGGUUUAACAAGUUAGUGGUGAAAGGCAUAGGCUCAACCAAUGUAAGCCAUUAAAACUGUUUAACUUGAGUGCAGGAGAGGAAAGUGGAAUUCCUAGUGUAGCGGUGAAAUGCGUAGAUAUUAGGAGGGAUACCAGUGGCGAAGGCGACUUUCUGGACUGCAACUGACACUGAGGCACGAAAGCGUGGGGAGCAAACAGGAUUAGAUACCCGCGUAGUCCCUGUCUCUUAUACA